rnacentral:rRNA from 1 species
AGUGAACGCUGGCGGUAGGCCUAACACAUGCAAGUCGAACGGCAGCACAGUAAGAGCUUGCUCUUACGGGUGGCGAGUGGCGGACGGGUGAGGAAUACAUCGGAAUCUACUUUUUCGUGGGGGAUAACGUAGGGAAACUCACGCUAAUAACGCAUACGACCUACGGGUGAAAGCAGGGGAUCUUCGGACCUUGCGCGAGUGAAUGAGCCGAUGUCGGAUUAGCUAGUUGGCGGGGUAAAGGCCCACCAAGGCGACGAUCCGUAGCUGGUCUGAGAGGAUGAUCAGCCACACUGGAACUGAGACACGGUCCAGACUCCUACGGGAGGCAGCAGUGGGGAAUAUUGGACAAUGGGCGCAAGCCUGAUCCAGCCAUACCGCGUGGGUGAAGAAGGCCUUCGGGUUGUAAAGCCCUUUUGUUGGGAAAGAAAAGCAGCAGGUUAAUACCCCGCUGUUCUGACGGUACCCAAAGAAUAAGCACCGGCUAACUUCGUG